CUAGCGAGCCCAACCUCCCACCCGUGUUUACUGUACCUUAGUUGCUUCGGCGGGCCCGCCAUUCAUGGCCGCCGGGGGCUCUCAGCCCCGGGCCCGCGCCCGCCGGAGACACCACGAACUCUGUCUGAUCUAGUGAAGUCUGAGUUGAUUGUAUCGCAAUCAGUUAAAACUUUCAACAAUGGAUCUCUUGGUUCCGGCAUCGAUGAAGAACGCAGCGAAAUGCGAUAACUAGUGUGAAUUGCAGAAUUCCGUGAAUCAUCGAGUCUUUGAACGCACAUUGCGCCCCCUGGUAUUCCGGGGGGCAUGCCUGUCCGAGCGUCAUUGCUGCCCAUCAAGCACGGCUUGUGUGUUGGGUCGUCGUCCCCUCUCCGGGGGGGACGGGCCCCAAAGGCAGCGGCGGCACCGCGUCCGAUCCUCGAGCGUAUGGGGCUUUGUCACCCGCUCUGUAGGCCCGGCCGGCGCUUGCMGAACGCAAAUCAAUCUUUUCCAGGUUGACCUCGGAUCAGGUAGGGAUACCCGCUGAACUUAAG
rnacentral:rRNA from 1 species